GCUUAUGCGUUGUUGGGUAGGGGAGCGUUCUGUAAGCCUGUGAAGGUGGCCUGUGAGGGUUGCUGGAGGUAUCAGAAGUGCGAAUGCUGACAUAAGUAACGAUAAAGCGGGUGAAAAGCCCGCUCGCCGGAAGACCAAGGGUUCCUGUCCAACGUUAAUCGGGGCAGGGUGAGUCGACCCCUAAGGCGAGGCCGAAAGGCGUAGUCGAUGGGAAACGGGUUAAUAUUCCCGUACUUGGUGUUACUGCGAAGGGGGGACGGAGAAGGCUAUGUUGGCCGGGCGACGGUUGUCCCGGUUUAAGCGUGUAGGUGUGUGUUCCAGGUAAAUCCGGUUCACUUUAACACUGAGGCGUGAUGACGAGGCACUACGGUGCUGAAGUAACAAAUGCCCUGCUUCCAGGAAAAGCCUCUAAGCAUCAGGUAACAUCAAAUCGUACCCCAAACCGACACAGGUGGUCAGGUAGAGAAUACCAAGGCGCUUGAGAGAACUCGGGUGAAGGAACUAGGCAAAAUGGUGCCGUAACUUCGGGAGAAGGCACGCUGACACGUAGGUGAAGUGAUUUACUCA
rnacentral:rRNA from 1 species